UCCGCAGGGGGUUUGCUCAGUCUGAUGUGAAAUCUCACGGCUCAACUGUGAAAUGGCAUUGGAUACUGGCGAACUUGAGUGCAUGAUGGGAGAGCGGAAUUCCUGGUGUAGCGGUGGAAUGCGUAGAUAUCAGGAAGAACACCGAUGGCGAAGGCGGCUCUCUGGCAUGUUACUGACCCUCAUGGACGAAAGCGUGGGGAGCAAACAGGAUUAGAUACCCUGGUAGUCC
rnacentral:rRNA from 1 species